CCCCACCGGUCAAAUCUCCUCCUCCACCAUACUACUAUCACUCACCGCCCCCUCCAAUGAAAUCUCCUCCACCACCAUAUGUUUACCAUUCACCACCUCCACCCAUGAAAUCUCCUCCUCCACCAUACUACUAUCACUCACCACCUCCACCAGUAAAGUCUCCACCACCACCACCAUAUUAUUACCAUUCACCACCUCCUCCAGUAAAAUCUCCUCCUCCACCAUACUACUACCAUUCACCACCUCCUCCGGUGAAGUCUCCACCACCGCCAUACCAUUACAACUCUCCACCACCACCAGUAAAAUCUCCCCCACCUCCAGUAUACAUCUACGCCUCUCCUCCACCUCCUACCCAUUACUAGGCUCAUCAAAUUCAACCAAAUUUCCCCAUUAUUCAAGUAAAGUCCCAACGCUUCAACAUUUUCAAUAUGCUUCAUAUCCAUAUCGAUAGAACUUUGUCUCAUUAUCUCAAUUUCUUCUUCGCAGG
rnacentral:lncRNA from 1 species